UCUCCUGGAAACGGGUGGUAAUGCCGGAUGCUCCAUCACACUGCAUGGUGUGUUGGGAAAGCCUUUGCGGCAUGGGAUGGGGUCGCGUCCUAUCAGCUUGAUGGCGGGGUAACGGCCCACCAUGGCUUCGACGGGUAGCCGGCCUGAGAGGGCGACCGGCCACAUUGGGACUGAGAUACGGCCCAGACUCCUACGGGAGGCAGCAGUGGGGAAUAUUGCACAAUGGGCGCAAGCCUGAUGCAGCGACGCCGCGUGAGGGAUGGAGGCCUUCGGGUUGUAAACCUCUUUUGUUAGGGAGCAAGGCAUUUUGUGUUGAGUGUACCUUUCGAAUAAGCACCGGCUAACUACGUGCCAGCAGCCGCGGUAAUACGUAGGGUGCAAGCGUUAUCCGGAAUUAUUGGGCGUAAAGGGCUCGUAGGCGGUUCGUCGCGUCCGGUGUGAAAGUCCAUCGCUUAACGGUGGAUCCGCGCCGGGUACGGGCGGGCUUGAGUGCGGUAGGGGAGACUGGAAUUCCCGGUGUAACGGUGGAAUGUGUAGAUAUCGGAAAAAAAACACCA
rnacentral:rRNA from 1 species